CUAAUCUCUUGGAAAUGGCAGUCACUUUCACAGUAAUAAAUGAUUGGAAUAGCAAUUGUAGUUUUCUUUAACAAAAGCCAUAUGAUUGAACUAAUGGUGCAUCUUCCUGAUGUGAAGAAUGUCAAAACCUUCACCCAUCAUAUAAAAAUGCCCUGUAAUCUAGUCAUUAUUUUUGAUGAAUGAAAUCCUUUUGGAUAGAAAAAAAAAUCUCUAAUAUUAAUAAUAACUUUGAAAUACAAAACCCACUUAUACUAAUGGUAGGUCUUGGAUUUUUUUUCUAGUCUUACAGCUCUAAGGAAAUAAAUUAACAAGCUAGAUUAAAACAUUUAAGAUAGAGUGGAAGUACAAUAAAUUUAAAGCUUUCUUCUCUGUUAUAUUAAACCAUGUGUUACUUUAACAGGCAUUUU
rnacentral:lncRNA from 1 species